UACGUAGGCAGCGAGCGUUGUUCGGAGUUACUGGGCGUAAAGGGUGUGUAGGCGGUUUUCUAAGUUUGGUGUGAAAUCUCCCGGCUCAACCGGGAGGGUGCGCCGAAAACUGGGAGACUAGAGUGCGGGGAUGGGAGAGUAGAAUUCCUGGUGUAGCGGUGAAAUGCGUAGAUAUCAGGAGGAAUACCGGUGGUGUAGACGGCUCUCUGGACCGCCACUGACGCUGAGACACGAAAGCGUGGGUAGCAAACAGG
rnacentral:rRNA from 1 species